rnacentral:rRNA from 1 species
UACGAAGGGGGCUAGCAUUGUUCGGAAUUACUGGGCGUAAAGCGCACGUAGGCGGACUAUUAAGUCAGGGGUGAAAUCCCGGGGCUCAACCCCGGAACUGCCCUUGAAACUGGAGAGCUAGAAUCUUGGAGAGGCGAGUGGAAUUCCGAGUGUAGAGGUGAAAUUCGUAGAUAUUCGGAAGAACACCAGUGGCGAAGGCGACUCGCUGGACAAGUAUUGACGCUGAGGUGCGAAAGCGUGGGGAGCAAACAGG